UACAGAGGGCGCGAGCGUUGUCCGGAAUCACUGGGCGUAAAGGGCGCGUAGGUGGCCACUAUAAGGCCGCGGUGAAAGUUCGGGGCUCAACCCUGAAUCGGCCGCGGCGACUGUAGGGCUUGGGCACUGUAGAGGCAGGAUGGAAUUCCGGGUGUAGCGGAUGGAAUGCGUAGAGAUCCGGAAGAACACCGGUGGCGAAGGCGGCGGACCUGGACAGGCACUGACACUCAACUACGAAAGCGUGGGGAGCAAACAGG
rnacentral:rRNA from 1 species